rnacentral:rRNA from 1 species
UUCCAGACUCCUACGGGAGGCAGCAGUGGGGAAUAUUGCACAAUGGGGGAAACCCUGAUGCAGCGACGCCGCGUGAGCGAUGAAGUAUUUCGGUAUGUAAAGCUCUAUCAGCAGGGAAGAAGAUGACGGUACCUGACUAAGAAGCCCCGGCUAACUACGUGCCAGCAGCUGCGGUAAUACGUAGGGGGCAAGCGUUAUCCGGAUUUACUGGGUGUAAAGGGAGCGUAGACGGCGAUGCAAGCCAGAUGUGAAAGCCCGGGGCUCAACCCCGGGACUGCAUUUGGAACUGUGUGGCUGGAGUGUCGGAGAGGCAGGCGGAAUUCCUAGUGUAGCGGUGAAAUGCGUAGAUAUUAGGAGGAACACCAGUGGCGAAGGCGGCCUGCUGGACGAUGACUGACGUUGAGGCUCGAAAGCGUGGGGAGCAAACAGGAUUAGAUACCCGCGUAAA